rnacentral:rRNA from 1 species
UGCCCUUGGGUCCGGCAUAACCCCGGGAAACUGGGGAUAAUUCCGGAUAACGCAUAUAUGCUGGAAUGCUUUAUGCGUCAAAUGGAUUCGUCUGCCCAAGGAUGGGUCUGCGGCCUAUCAGGUAGUAGUGGGUGUAAUGUACCUACUAGCCGACGACGGGUACGGGUUGUGAGAGCAAGAGCCCGGAGAUGGAUUCUGAGACAUGAAUCCAGGCCCUACGGGGCGCAGCAGGCGCGAAAACUUUACAAUGCGGGAAACCGUGAUAAGGGGACACCGAGUGCCAGCAUCAUAUGCUGGCUGUCCGGGUGUGUAAAAUACACCCGUUAGCAAGGGCCGGGCAAGACCGGUGCCAGCCGCCGCGGUAACACCGGCGGCCCGAGUGGUGAUCGUGAUUAUUGGGUCUAAAGGGUCCGUAGCCGGUUUGGUCAGUCCUCCGGGAAAUCUGACGGCUUAACCGUUAGGCUUUCGGAGGAUACUGCCAGGCUUGGAACCGGGAGAGGUAAGAGGUACUACAGGGGUAGGAGUGAAAUCUUGUAAUCCCUGUGG